AUUCAUUUGAUAUGUUAACAUUGAUCUGACGGAAAUUGCAUUAUAAUUACAAGAUAUAUUCUUUCUGAUGAAUGUAUUGGGAGGUAGCAAAUAUUAAAGGGACACUGUAGUCACUAUAAGCAUUUCAUCUCUUUGAAUUGGUUAUAGUGCCUGGAGUGCCCUGGCGUUGUCCCUCCAUUCAGUGUUGAACCAUGUUCGUGCAGUAUGCCACAAAAUAAGAGUCCCUGGCCACCCACAGUCCGGCCCCUUCAGUAUGUGUAGCUAAGGCAGAGGUUGCACACUUCCUUGUUUUCGUACCCAUUCAUACUGUCAGCUGACACUCUCAGCCAAUCACAGCUGCCCAUUGCUGCUCAGGCUAAUACUUCCUUAUUAGCCAAAGCAGCACAGAGGGGAUGGAUUGCCGGGGACUCUUAUUUAGCAUUAAAACAUUAAAACGUUAAAAACGGUUUAAUGCUGGUAGAAAUUAUGGGACCAGAGGACUACAGACACUAUAACCAGUUUAAUGAAAUGAAGCAGAUACAGUGCCUACGGUGUCC